UUAAGCGACUAAGCGUACACGGUGGAUGCCCUGGCAGUCAGAGGCGAUGAAGGGCGUGCUAAUCUGCGAUAAGCGCCGGUAAGGUGAUAUGAACCGUUAUAACCGGCGAUACCCGAAUGGGGAAACCCAGUGUGAUUCGUCACACUAUCAUUAACUGAAUCCAUAGGUUAAUGAGGCGAACCGGGGGAACUGAAACAUCUAAGUACCCCGAGGAAAAGAAAUCAACCGAGAUUCCCCCAGUAGCGGCGAGCGAACGGGGAGGAGCCCAGAGCCUGAAUCAGCAUGUGUGUUAGUGGAAGCGUCUGGAAAGGCGCGCGAUACAGGGUGACAGCCCCGUACACAAAAGCGCAUGUGCUGUGAGCUCGAUGAGUAGGGCGGGACACGUGGUAUCCUGUCUGAAUAUGGGGGGACCAUCCUCCAAGGCUAAAUACUCCUGACUGACCGAUAGUGAACCAGUACCGUGAGGGAAAGGCGAAAAGAACCCCGGCGAGGGGAGUGAAAAAGAACCUGAAACCGUGUACGUACAAGCAGUGGGAGCCCCACCACUAAGCCAGUGGUGAACUCCACAUCCGCAUCCUUUGCUGAGGAUACGGUUAACGGAGCGAAAGCGACGUUCAACCGCAAAACAAGCAGAGGGGGCUUAGUGGUGGGGUGACUGCGUACCUUUUGUAUAAUGGGUCAGCGACUUAUAUUCUGUAGCAAGGUUAACCGAAUAGGGGAGCCGGAGGGAAACCGAGUCUUAAUUGGGCGUUAAGUUGCAGGGUAUAGACCCGAAACCCGGUGAUCUAGCCAUGGGCAGGUUGAAGGUUGGGUAACACUAACUGGAGGACCGAACCGACUAAUGUUGAAAAAUUAGCGGAUGACCUGUGGCUGGGGGUGAAAGGCCAAUCAAACCGGGAGAUAGCUGGUUCUCCCCGAAAGCUAUUUAGGUAGCGCCUCGUGAAUUCAUCUCCGGGGGUAGAGCACUGUUUCGGCUAGGGGGCCAUCCCGGCUUACCAACCCGAUGCAAACUGCGAAUACCGGAGAAUGUUAUCACGGGAGACACACGGCGGGUGCUAACGUCCGUCGUGAAGAGGGAAACAACCCAGACCGCCAGCUAAGGUCCCAAAGUCAUGGUUAAGUGGGAAACGAUGUGGGAAGGCCCAGACAGCCAGGAUGUUGGCUUAGAAGCAGCCAUCAUUUAAAGAAAGCGUAAUAGCUCACUGGUCGAGUCGGCCUGCGCGGAAGAUGUAACGGGGCUAAACCAUGCACCGAAGCUGCGGCAGCGAACGUAUCACUUAAAGCGAUUCAGCGGGUUACGAUUGACGGAGCGAAGCGACGUCAAAGCGUAUACAAAGUCGAGUCGGUUUAAGGAUACGUUCGUUGGGUAGGGGAGCGUUCUGUAAGCCCGUGAAGGUGGCCUGUGAGGGUUGCUGGAGGUAUCAGAAGUGCGAAUGCUGACAUAAGUAACGAUAAAGCGGGUGAAAAGCCCGCUCGCCGGAAGACCAAGGGUUCCUGUCCAACGUUAAUCGGGGCAGGGUGAGUCGACCCCUAAGGCGAGGCCGAAAGGCGUAGUCGAUGGGAAACGGGUUAAUAUUCCCGUACUUGGUGUUACUGCGAAGGGGGGACGGAGAAGGCUAUGUUGGCCGGGCGACGGUUGUCCCGGUUUAAGCGUGUAGGUGUGUGUUCCAGGUAAAUCCGGUUCACUUUAACACUGAGGCGUGACGACGAGGCACUACGGUGCUGAAGCAACAAAUGCCCUGCUUCCAGGAAAAGCCUCUAAGCAUCAGGUAACACAAAUCGUACCCCAAACCGACACAGGUGGUCAGGUAGAGAAUACCAAGGCGCUUGAGAGAACUCGGGUGAAGGAACUAGGCAAAAUGGUGCCGUAACUUCGGGAGAAGGCACGCUGACACGUAGGUGAAGUGAUUUACUCAUGGAGCUGAAGUCAGUCGAAGAUACCAGCUGGCUGCAACUGUUUAUUAAAAACACAGCACUGUGCAAACACGAAAGUGGACGUAUACGGUGUGACGCCUGCCCGGUGCCGGAAGGUUAAUUGAUGGGGUCAGCGCAAGCGAAGCUCCUGAUCGAAGCCCCGGUAAACGGCGGCCGUAACUAUAACGGUCCUAAGGUAGCGAAAUUCCUUGUCGGGUAAGUUCCGACCUGCACGAAUGGCGUAAUGAUGGCCAGGCUGUCUCCACCCGAGACUCAGUGAAAUUGAACUCGCUGUGAAGAUGCAGUGUACCCGCGGCAAGACGGAAAGACCCCGUGAACCUUUACUAUAGCUUGACACUGAACAUUGAGCCUUGAUGUGUAGGAUAGGUGGGAGGCUUUGAAGUGUGGACGCCAGUCUGCAUGGAGCCGACCUUGAAAUACCACCCUUUAAUGUUUGAUGUUCUAACGUGGACCCGUAAUCCGGGUUGCGGACAGUGUCUGGUGGGUAGUUUGACUGGGGCGGUCUCCUCCUAAAGAGUAACGGAGGAGCACGAAGGUUGGCUAAUCCUGGUCGGACAUCAGGAGGUUAGUGCAAUGGCAUAAGCCAGCUUGACUGCGAGCGUGACGGCGCGAGCAGGUGCGAAAGCAGGUCAUAGUGAUCCGGUGGUUCUGAAUGGAAGGGCCAUCGCUCAACGGAUAAAAGGUACUCCGGGGAUAACAGGCUGAUACCGCCCAAGAGUUCAUAUCGACGGCGGUGUUUGGCACCUCGAUGUCGGCUCAUCACAUCCUGGGGCUGAAGUAGGUCCCAAGGGUAUGGCUGUUCGCCAUUUAAAGUGGUACGCGAGCUGGGUUUAGAACGUCGUGAGACAGUUCGGUCCCUAUCUGCCGUGGGCGCUGGAGAACUGAGGGGGGCUGCUCCUAGUACGAGAGGACCGGAGUGGACGCAUCACUGGUGUUCGGGUUGUCAUGCCAAUGGCACUGCCCGGUAGCUAAAUGCGGAAGAGAUAAGUGCUGAAAGCAUCUAAGCACGAAACUUGCCCCGAGAUGAGUUCUCCCUGAGACUUAGAGUCUCCUGAAGGAACGUUGAAGACGACGACGUUGAUAGGCCGGGUGUGUAAGCGCAGCGAUGCGUUGAGCUAACCGGUACUAAUGAACCGUGAGGCUUAACCU
rnacentral:rRNA from 1 species